AGGUCUAAUCUGGAACAAUAAAAUACAGAAGAGCGCACACUUAACAUCAGCACACUUCAGCCUGCGGUGAGACAUUUCUUAUCUGUGUCUGUGUAACAGCAGGAAUGCAUCAUCCAUUUUUAAAAAGCCCUAACAGCUAAGGCCUUCACCUACCAAACCCAAGCUUAUCCCGGCCUGAGUAAAUAAUGUGCAACAUCAGCUGACGUCUUUUUUGAUCAAAUAAGACAUCGACAGCAGAAUAAUCAAGUCCACGCAAAAAGAAUCACACUCACUGGUUUCCCUUCUCAUAUGGCUUCUUUCUCACAUACGUGCUGCCCGAACCCACACAGGUUCUGAUUACACGCAGCAGUGCAUGAACUGAUGAGGACCACAGCGACGACUCCGGCACACACACUGGAAUCAACAUGUUUGAAAAAGCCGGCCGAUGUUUAGCUUGACACUCGAGACCGCGUGUAUCAAAUUGCGCUCGGCGAGCAUAAACACCCGCAGCUGAAUACAAAAUCUGUUUUUUGCACCGGUGCCCACUUUGUUAGGCCAUUCAAAGUGCCUCCAUGAAACAGCAUGUGAAACUGCAUGGCAACAAGUGGGUUCAAAAGCACUUGACUCGUGGCUCCGUGUGGUCGGCCAUUGUUUGCUUUGAAAUACCUGCUGCUUUUUUCGCCGAAUACGCUUCUCUCUGGAAAAUUAUUCUGUGAAAAAAUAUCUAUGAACAGAGCAGCCAGAGCUGUUUUGUUGUUGGAUAUACUAAUGAAUCGAAACAGCAUUUAAAUGAAAACUGACAGUGGUUUCAAACAGCGAUUAAAGCCCAGAGACAGAUGUCUGUAAUUUAGGUAAUCUCGUCAGUGUCCCCGCCAUCAUUAUCAAGCCAAACAAAGGCACUUUAAAUUGUCGUCUGUCAGUCAGCUGCUUCAACUGCAUUUUGAGCACACCACAUGAAUCCAAUAAACAAAUCACGCGAAACUAGGGCGACAUGAUGUCCCUCUUUUUUUUUGCAUCUAUGCAUGCACCCCUACAGAGAAUAUGGGAGUAUAUGAAGACUAUUGCACGGGGCCGUAAGAAUCUAAGUAAGAAAUCUGGUCUGGAAGGUGAAGGCCGGUGCCUUGUUUCAGUUUCAGAUCAAAUUGUUUCAGUUUGACUCAGCAAUUCUAGUAUUUUAUCAUCUGUUACUUCUGAUGCUAACCAUCCAAGACGGUGACGGACAAAUUUGAGACUGCGUGAACACGUUUCUGCUGCCGUCAAUCACACUGAGAAUCGACGUCCAACUUGCAAAUAACAUCUUAUUUUUUUGGUUUUACAAAUCACAAGUGCUACUUUGUUAAGGACGCAGCAGAGAGUCGAAUUUAACAAAUUCACUCAGACAUUUUCUCAGAAGUUGCUGGAAAUCAAAGAUAAAGGGGAGCAGGUGUAAGAGGCAAAGUCAUCAGUACUGCUGUCAGGCCACAUACUGAAAGAAUAAAAGAAGAAAAAGAUGCUGCUCAGCUUGCUGCCACCACCACCGGCUGCAGCUGCCGGCGCAUGUCACGGCCCGGCACCACCCCAGCAUCGACCUGUGGGCUCUGAUUCUUCAAGGCUCCCCGCGGGGGGCCGCAUCGAUCUCGCUCCUCUCUCAGUUUAGCCGGGUUUAAAUUAUGCUUCACGGGGAGCGACACGAAACCUUUAGCCUCAGCACCAAAACAGAAUCUAUACUCUCGUCUCGCUUUUAGUUAAUAUGCAGGUCUGUGCAACGCAUUCAGAGUGUAGCGUAUUAGCAAAAUGCACAAACACAGACGAGAGACACCAUCUCAUUAUUGGUUUCACUUAUUAGCAUCAGCGUGUAUAUGAUGAAGGUGAGACUGCAAACGAAGAAAUUGUAAGAAAACGGAGGUUUGACAGUAACUUUGUUUCAGAAAUGAGAUAAGAUAAUAAAUUAAUUGAAUAAAUAUGUCUUUUAGCUUUAAACCAGAAUCUCAACGAGGCUCUGACGCAUUAUAUCCUCCACACAAUAACCAGACAUAAAGCAUUUGUGUGCAAAUGCCACAAAGGCCACCAAUGACAUCACCACACCUCACAUUAAGACGUGUAAUUUAAUUAUCACUUGUGUCCAGGGAGGGUCCACUCCGUUUAACCGUGCCUGCAUGUUUACGUGUGCAGGUCUUUAGAAGCCUUGUGUGUGUGUGUGUGUGUGUGUGUGUGUGUGUGUGUGUGUGUGUGUGUGUGUUUUGUCUCUCAGCCCAUCUGUGUGCUAUGUGCAUGGUUGUGUGUUCUCAUAAGGUGUGCGCAUAUGUCAGUGUGACACACAUAGUUACCAGCAAACGUUGCUUCCUGGUUGCCAUGGCUGACGGUUUCAGUGAAACCCUGCUUCAAAUAGCUUCCUGUAUCUCCUUACCAUCUCAGCCUCUCUUCUUUAUUAUUUUAAGUCAUUUUCUUUGCCCUUAUCUUAAUUUAUGAUAUGCUUCGUGUCCUUAUUGUGAGUUACACUUGAUUCUUUUUUCAUUUUUAGGGUUCUUGUCAGUACUUUAGCAAAUAUCUGUAUUCUUUUUGCUUUUUAAAAAAAGCAUUUUUGCAUCUCAGACGCUUAGUUUUUUGGGUUUUUUUUUAUCGUGCACGCUAUUAUCUGAUUUCCUAUCAUGACACUGUGUAUUAGUAUCACUUGGUGCAUCUGUUUCUGUGUGCAGCUUCACUCCACACUGGUCUAUUUCUGUCUCUGUGAUGAGGAUGUGUUGGCUUCAACUUAGCCUAUUUUUAUUUUCUUCUAAAAUUGUCUCCCACAAAUAAAAACCAACUAAACAGGUCACCCUGGAGCUGGUUUUGCUUCUUUAUUGUUGGAGGUUUUGUGUGUUGUGUCUGCUGAGGACAAAAACACCAUUUGGUGCCACAAUGAACUGAGAUGACACAACAUAGUUCGCAUUACUUUCUCAU